rnacentral:tRNA from 2 species
UUGGGGUAUAGUGUAACGGCAGCACGACUGACUCUGGCUCAGUUAGUUGGGGUUCGAAUCCCUGUACCCCAGU